UACGGGGGGGGCAAGCGUUGUUCGGAAUUACUGGGCGUAAAGGGUGCGUAGGCGGCGCGGUAAGUAGGGUGUGAAAUCCCUCGGCUCAACCGAGGAACUGCGCUCUAAACUACCGUGCUCGAGGGAGAUAGAGGUGGGCGGAACUUAGGGUGGAGCGGUGAAAUGCGUUGAUAUCCUAAGGAACACCGGUGGCGAAAGCGGCUCACUGGAUCUCUUCUGACGCUGAGGCACGAAAGCUAGGGUAGCGAACGGG
rnacentral:rRNA from 1 species